CUUUUUGCAUGUGUGUGGAUGUGUGCAUACAUACUUUUCCAAACUUCCAAGCUGUGCAUCCUACCUUACAGAACUUACUGUAAUAUCAGAGGGUAUUUCUUUGUGCCACUUGUCAGAAAGGGCCUGCAGAAUGUGUUCUGCACAAUCUUCAGUGGGGCCAAUGUUGUGUUUGGUUCAAAUCCAAGGCUUGCAGGGGGUUGGCAUUUUUGUUUUAAAUUUCUUAAAUGGAUCACAGUGAUAACGGCAACUGAGCAGCAUUUGGAUUUCUGUGUGCAGCAGAGCAUUGUUUUAUUUUAACAUACAAGAAAAUAUGAAACACUACAGCAAAAUAAUAUCUUUAAAUCCUGCCCAGGGUCUGCCCACUCAGAUAUCCAGCUAAUAUUUUGUAGUACAUUCAGCAAAAGACAUGAAGCAAUGAUAAUAUGGUCAACAGAAUUGUUUUACAUUUUUCACUGUUUAGAUCCUGAUAGAGUAAUUAUGCUCUAUCGUGCAUAAUUGCCACAGUGUUAAAAUGUAAUUGUAAAAUGCAUUACUCUUUUAAUCCAUAAUUGAACCUUUAUACAGGCCAUGUAAUCAUCUACAUACAGAACUAUUCAUCUGUGACUAUUUAACAGGUGCACAUCAUUUAUGUCUGUUCUUUUUUAAGCUGAACUUACUUCUGUUGAACUUCACCAAGUUAACCAUUUUUCAGCCUCCAACACUGCAGUAAAAUUGUACUUCCUUAAAUCUGGUUUGCUUGCAGACAGGGUCUGACACAGUAGAUUUAGUACAGCUGCAGUAUUAACGUUCAAAACUCCCAAGCUGCACAGUUUUCCCACAUGCUACAUAAAAAUGCUGUACAGUUUCUCUCUGCAAGGCUCCUCUAUUAGGGCAUUAACUGACUGUGUGCCUCCAAUUUGGUUAGUGUUUUCAUUUAUAUGUAAUGUUUUACACACUCACCCGGAUUACUAUUUAUUGCAAAGGAAGCAUCGUAAAAUAAUAAUUUUACCCAAUUUUGGCUUAACAUUAAUUUUCAAACUGUGAAACUCAAUGGAAAAUAAAUCUGGAGAGAAAGAUUCAGAAUCAUGAAACAAAAUGAGUUGCUAAAGAAUAACUAGUGAUUAUAUGUAUUCUUAACUACCUAUAAGAAAAACAAUGGUGAUUUUUUUCCACAAUUAUAAAGGCAGCAGAAUGGAUUUGUGUAUCCUGUAAUAUUGGAAAGUGGGAAAAUGCUCAGGAAUCCAGGGCAUUGCUUUUAUCAUCUCCCAUCACAACACUAAGAUCUGUUCAUUCAGUUUCAUCAGCUUUUCCAUGGGUUUCAGAAUAAAUCAGUGCAUAACUGAAGGUAGGUUUGUAACUUAUGCAUCAAAAGAUGGAAGGAAACGUGGUUUCUUUGAAGACCUGAAUGUAGAACCCUGACGGUUUGGAUGAUGUUGAGUUUCCAGUCAAGAACGAAGUGGACCAAGCCAGAUUCCAGUUUAGGUCUUUCCAUCUGUAUGAUAGGACUGUGUGCUUCCAGUUUGAUAGCCAUCUGCCUGCAUGUCUUUUAAUCCCUAAAGGCAAUGAAUGGCUUCAGUGCCAUGACUUUAGCCUCCUCCAGUUCUUUCCAUGUCAAAAGAAGUUCUAUUUUCAUCUUCUACAGAAAUACUUCCUAACCUUUAUUUUACCAGGAGUCGUUUAUAGCAAGCAACUAAAUUUUUUGCACCUUUAUCAAUUUUUCUAUCCAGAUUUGGAAAUCACUUGUCCCCUCUUUAUUCAGUCUCUGGGGGUCCCUCCCCUCCAGAAAAAUCUCAGUUUUGGUUUCUUAUAGAGUCAGCAGUGGAGGAUAGGGAGCAGUGCAAAACUCUUGCUGCUGCUGCGUCUCCUGACAGGGGUGCAGAGCCCUAGAGGAAGAAACAGCAUAAACAUUCUUCAUAAAGCAGAGAAAAUAGGUGCAGGCAAAUAUUUUAAAUUGAACUAUAAUGAAAUUAUUGUUCAUGGCCCAGCUUCUACCUUACAUCCAGAAUCUGUCAUUUAGGUGAUUGGGCCAGCAGGUGGCAAAUCUAAUUGAAUUCAAGAAAAUAAAUAAGGAAGUAGGCUGGGGAUUGUUUGCUAAAAAGAAGACAUCUAGUUUACUAAUUAGCAGGAUUUAUGGGAUGCUGUACUUAAAAAUAGAUGAUUAUUGAUAGCUCAUCUUAAUCACGAAAGCUACCUUGUAGUUUGUUAACUAAAAGCAGGUUUGCUGCAGCAGUCAGACGUGUGGUCACAAUGUGCACAGGGAAGAUGACCUGGCAUUAAUCCACCUGGCAUGGACAGCAGUGUCUCAGGAACAGGGCAGGGGUUGUAGGCUGUGCUGCUGCAGCCGUAAUGCUGCUGGUUUUAAGAGCUGCAGCCUGAGCACCUGUGUGCAUUGGGUUGCACUUCUUACUGCAGUGGAGACAUUGGUGUAGAAAGGAAGGGGUUAUAUCUGGUUCUGUGUUAGCAAUAACCUGGAACAAUAGACCCACUGCACUAGACACUUGUUUUCAUCUGGAAACUUUAUGAAAGGCUGCACAGCAACAGUGUUAUUAAUUAGAGAGGCAGUAGGAAUAACCAUGGUAUAUUGCAUCUGUCUUUGAAUUAGAUAGAAAGAAAAGCUGGAAUUCUUUUUAAUUAUAAGAGAGUGUAAAAAUUAUAGGGCUAUAGGAAACUAAGAUGGAGAUUGCUUUUGAAAUUGUCAUAUAUCUAAAUCAAUCUAAAGGUAUUUUAACAGAAAUUGGAAGUAGGUAUUAAACUAAACUAUUUCUCAGUGGAGACUAAUGAAGUGGAAGUUAAAUCAAUUUUUGUUUUGUUUAAAGGAAAUAGUGGUAGCGACUCUGACAUUUAGGUCAGUAUUGUCUCUCAUUAAAAUCAUUUUAAUGUUCAAAGCUGUAUCAGUUACUGGUGAGCUCAUCAUGGCAGCCGUUUAUGAAUUACACAUUUGCCUAUACCAUUAUAUAAUCCAUUUCUCUGUGCUACACUUUGGAAUAAUUUGAAUAUGAAAUAUAUCAGGAAAACAAAGUUGUUUUGUUCUAAGUGAAGAACUUGAGCAGAACUAUUCCUCACAAAAAGCAACAAACAUCCAGAGUGAAUCACCAUGAAGGAGAUUGCAGCUGAGUUUGUAAAUAUUAUUUGAGAGACUUAGAUUUCCUUCUGAAAGGAAAGACAUUAAGGGAUAUUUUGUAAAUGUAGAAGGGGAAUAAUAACAAAACCCCCUAGAAGAUAAAUCUGUCUCACCAGCCUUUUUGCUAUUUCAUGUCUAACAUUCAUUUUGGAGGUAUAACAGUUGCAUCAAUCUGAAGCUACUUUAGUUUUAUGUGCUUGGUAAAAUGGAGUUGAUUCAUAGGGAUCUGGUCUGUUCUCUUCUGUCACCUAAUAUUUCUGUUCCUAUGUCUGAAUGUUAUUUUGAACAACCAUAUACUUUUUUUUUUUUUUUUUUUACAGUUUGGAGAAUAAUAGCUGAAAGUUUCAAGGUAAAGUUUUUAUAUUCAUUCUCAUGCAUUCAGUUGUUCUUCCUUAUUGCAUAUGCCUCCAAGUAAUCUGUAGUGAUUAAGAUGCAAUGCCAAAGUAAAAUAAUUAAUUACAAUUUAGAUUGGAAAUAGGUUAGUUUCAUUUAGUAUUUUAGAGUUAUGAUUUCAGCUGUUCUUAUGCCCAGCAACAAAUAAAUUAAGAAACAGGGAGUGCAAAAGCCACGUGCUUCAGUGUUGAGGCAACUUUUCAUUAGGAUCAAGGGAAGAAGAGGGUUUUUUCAAUGCAGGAGAGUUGCACUUUGCAUUAGAGAGAGUUUUUCUGAGCAGGGGCUUCUGACACCUCAGGAGACUGUAUUUUUCUUGACUUGCUAGGAGCCAAUAUGUUUAGAGAUGUCUUAAACUAUUUGCCAUUCCUCAGUGGCCUUGGGAAGAACACCAUUUUGGUCCUGGAGCUUCACUCUGGGUAUUGACUUCGCUCUUGAAAGACUGAUGUGUCUUACAGACUAUCCAGCCUAGUGUAACAACUCUUUUAGUUUACUUAUGACUUGUUUGCAAAAUUAUUUUUGUAUUUUGUGAGUGAGACAAAGUUAGACUUUGGUACUUGUGCUACUUGUUUUUUUGUGUGUUUGUGUUUAAUGCAGCUGGAGGUUAUUAUGUAAAAUGAGUUAGUUUGAAUCUUUAAAGGAGCUGCCAACUUGCAUUUGCCUGAUUUACUUCAGCAGUGGAGGAGAGGAAGAAUUCCAAACAUGUCAUCCUGAUUUCACAAGUCUGCAGAGGUCUCCAAAGUGGACUUGUCCAUCUGUGUUAGCGACUUCUCAAGACUUAGUGUUGAGGCUUUUUCUGAACUUGUGGAGCCAAACUGGAAGCUGUCUGAACACAUGGUCAUUUAUAUUUGGAUCACCUAAGUUAAGUAAUAAACAUUUUCUUAAAUAUCUUUAAAUCUUUCCAUCCCUCAGUAACACAACUUUCUUACUCCUGUCACCCAGCAUAGAUUGGCUGGUCUUGCCCCUUCUCUCCGUGCUUCUGCCCCAUGUGCCAUGGUUCUUUUGGCACAUCCAGAAUUUCCCUGGUUUUGCCCAUUGAUGCCACAGCAGCCGUUACUCAGUUGUGUGUGGAUAGGGUUGCCUUUGCAUUUGUUAGUCUUGUUUCAUCUGCAUGGAGAGGGUGCCAAUGUUAUUCCUCCUGGUGUUUCUUCCUUUUUCUUUCUCUGUAGUUCACUCAGACCUUAAUUUAGUUUUGGCUUAAACAACCUGGUCUUUGACUUCAGCUGUGCACUCUUUAUCCUGGGCUCAAUUUGGUUUUCUCUGUCGCCUGUGACACUUUCAAAAUAGAAAGGGAAUGUAGUUUAAAUGCACAGAACUCUAUGGCAAUUUAUAAAGCUCUUGUUGUAACUACCCAAGGACAAGUUAAUAGAUUAUGCUGUUUGAUUCCUCUGACUUCUUGGCACAGCUGCUUGGGGUAUAAAUGCUCACAGUGGUGAGCAUUUAGUUUCCAAAUAUUUAAUGUGCUGUGCUAGGCAAAAAGCUUAUAGGACGAUGUUAAGGAAAAAAGAAAAUCUAAUGAGACACUAAAAUUGAUGUGUUUGCUCACUACAUGGUGCAGUCUUGAGGUGUGUCCAAAAGCAGGAAAAUAGAGAGAGAAUUGAAUAUUUGGGAGGAGAAGGGGAAGAGUCUGUUAGUCUUGUAAAGGGUCUGGUUAUCGUUCAAGGGAAUCUCCUUUCUUACACUGAAAUAAGGCAUUGACAGCUGUCAGAAGGCAUAGUAUAGAGGAUAUACUUCCAGUACUUAAUACUUUAGGGGGUGAAAGUUCAAAACCACAACAUCUUCUGAGACUUAAAUAGUCUUUGCCUUUGAGAACACGUCAUAGCUGGACAGUUUCUAGUAUGGUUCAGUGCCAUCCACAGUGAUCUUGGUUUUCUGAUCUAGCUCCCAAAAGAAGGAAAAUAUUAAUUUUCCAAUAUAUGAACAGUAGGCAUCUCAGCACAACCUGAGGUUGUCUCCUAUCAACUAUAUAAUCUUUAUAUUCUAGAUUAAUAAACACUUUAGCCUUGGAGUUUAUUAGUCCAAAAUAUAUUUAUUACCUCAUAAAUUCAAACCCCCUCCAGUUAUCACCUAAUUAAACUGCAACACUGUGCAGGCUAUCUUUGGGGAUGUAUUAAUAAUGAAAUUAUCUUGUGAAACAGUAAUUACAUGCUUUGUGCAUUCUUUUCCAUACUUUUUUUUUUUCAGUGUCUAUGUGAUGAGUGGGGCACACAGUACUCCAUUGUUCUGAGCUCCUCCAAACUCCAUACUUACCCAAGGAUAAGCAGAUUUAUUUUUUUCCUCUUAGAAAAAGAGAGAAAAGUUUGUGCAUUUUUGCACUUGGGAAAGGGAAGGACCAAUAUCGCUAGGCUAGGAACAGUUAUGAAACGUGAUUGUGGAAGUAAUUUUAGCUCAUGUUUUCUCCUCGCUCUUUGACUUUACUCACAGGAAUGAAAACUACUUGCAGGAUCUAUUCUGUAAGGCAGUUCUUACUGCAGUUGCCAAAAGUGAAGAUGACCACUUUCUUUGCAAGAGAAUAUUCAUUUAUAGGCCUUCACUGGUGACGUAGAAUUGAAUAAAAGGAAAAUAGUCUUAAAGCCUUCCUCGGGAGAGAGGUUUACUUGCAAUUUUUUCAGUGUAAUUGUUUUGAGUCUGUAAGUUCUCAGUUUAUGGAAAACAUGAUGGCUGAAGGUAUAAAGAAGACAACAUUGAGGAUUUUCCUCACUUAUGGUGAUUACUCUGAAGACAAACACAGCUCAGAAGACAAAUGUUUUGAGCUACCUGUAAGUUCUGGUCCACAGAACAGAUAAGGAGCCAGGAAUACUUCUGAACUUGCAAAUGAAAUUUAUCCUCAAUGUAAUGGUUGAGCUCGUUGUCUGCUGCUCUUUCUAAACGUGAAGUAAGGAAUUAAAUGCUCAUAUAUUCUAUAUAGAACAGCUGACAUGUUUUAUGCAUUCCUGUGUUUGCCUAAAAAGUCAUGGAUAAUCAACUUAAUUUGAUGUGCAAAAUAUAGUGCAUGGAUGAAUUCUGAUACAUAUCCCUGGCCAUGUCUGCGCUGUUACGAGAGGCAAAAACUUCCAGAAAAGAAACAGCCAUGAAAAUCUUCCUGAUAGUUUUCUCAUCGUUUUUUCUCCAAGGACAUACAUGUAGAUAAGUAAACUGAGACACAGAAGCCGGGUUCCUCCAAGCUGUGAAGUGAAUCGAUGCCAAGCCCAGCGUUAGACACUAGAUUAAUCCUUUCUUCCAGAAAUCGAGCUGUGUGGUUUCAGGCCAAAGAAAUGGAUUCUCAGUGAGUGAAGAUUUGAUGUCAUCCUGAAAUCAAUGGGGAAAUGCAAGGGUACAUUUGCUGUGCAUCAAGCCCACCCUGUUUUGUUGCACGGGAUUUCUUCUCCCUCUCCCAAAUCGCAGUUUUACCGAAGGAUAAUCUUUCAUCUUAGAGGGAAAGCCAUACCAGCUCUUGUGCACUAAUGCCAAGUUCUGCUUUCUUUUAUUUCCUUUCAAGCACUGGAUUUCUCCUUCAGGAGGUGGUGUGACUUAAUGUCAUCUCCCUGCGCAGCGAGGUAACCACUCUAGCGACCAAAGCAGUGUGCUGAAACUUGGGAGAGCCUUGGUGUGCCCCUCGACACCCCUGGCAGCAUGAGGCGAAUUCUCCUCGCACCGCAGUCCUCGUCUGCAGUCGCCACAGAGAAAACCAUCUGUUCCACUUGGAAAGGGUUGGGUUCCACACGCCCUCCCCCCCGCAUCCCGGCUCCAGCCCCAGCUGCCGUGUUUCGAUGAGCACUGAGGGGAUGAGUCUCCUGUGUUAAAAAUACUCUGGUUCUAUUUGGAUAAAAAGAAGAAUCUUCCUUGCCUACACUGCCACACAAAAAUAGUCUUAGUGUGAGUAAAUCUUCAAAGUUCCUCUUGGUGAAAA